rnacentral:rRNA from 1 species
ACGCUGGCGGCAGGCCUAACACAUGCAAGUCGAGCGGAAACGACACUAACAAUCCUUCGGGUGCGUUAAUGGGCGUCGAGCGGCGGACGGGUGAGUAAUGCCUAGGAAAUUGCCUUGAUGUGGGGGAUAACCAUUGGAAACGAUGGCUAAUACCGCAUAAUGCCUACGGGCCAAAGAGGGGGAUCUUCGGGCCUCUCGCGUCAAGAUAUGCCUAGGUGGGAUUAGCUAGUUGGUGAGGUAAUGGCUCACCAAGGCGACGAUCCCUAGCUGGUCUGAGAGGAUGAUCAGCCACACUGGAACUGAGACACGGUCCAGACUCCUACGGGAGGCAGCAGUGGGGAAUAUUGCACAAUGGGCGAAAGCCUGAUGCAGCCAUGCCGCGUGUAUGAAGAAGGCCUUCGGGUUGUAAAGUACUUUCAGUUGUGAGGAAGGGGGURWCGUUAAUAGCGKKRUCUCUUGACGUUAGCAACAGAAGAAGCACCGGCUAACUCCGUGCCAGCAGCCGCGGUAAUACGGAGGGUGCGAGCGUUAAUCGGAAUUACUGGGCGUAAAGCGCAUGCAGGUGGUUCAUUAAGUCAGAUGUGAAAGCCCGGGGCUCAACCUCGGAACUGCAUUUGAAACUGGUGAACUAGAGUGCUGUAGAGGGGGGUAGAAUUUCAGGUGUAGCGGUGAAAUGCGUAGAGAUCUGAAGGAAUACCAGUGGCGAAGGCGGCCCCCUGGACA